rnacentral:rRNA from 1 species
GUGUUAUUCAUCUUUAAUCGGUUUAAAGGGUACCUAGACGGAAAAUCAAGCUUAAUUAAACUAAGGACUAGUUUUCUAGAGUUUGACAUGAGAAGGUACGAACUAUCAGAGGAGAGAUAAAAUUUGUUGAUACUGGUGGGACGGACAACGGCGAAGGCAAUCUUCUACUAAAAACUGACGUUGAGGGACGAAGCCUUGGGGAGCGAGAAGGAUUAGAUACCCUAGUAGUCCUUGGAGAAAAUUAUGAGUGCCAUAGACUAAAGUGAAAAAGAAGUUCUUUUAAAAGAACUUUGUAUCUGAGCCUUAAUUGGAUACAAAGGUCUCGAGUAGCAGUUUAUAAAUGAAAGUGUAAGCAUUCCACCUCAUGACUAAAGCGGCAACGCCCAAAUUGAAAUCAUUAGACCGUUUCUGAAACCAGUAGUGAAGUAUGUUAUUUAAUUCGAUAACCCGCGAAUAACCUUACCACGUUUUGAAUUUAUUAAACAAGUGUUGCACGGCUGUCUUCAGUUAAUGUCGUGAGAUUUUGGUUUGUUCCAUUAAUUAACGAAAACCCUUGUUUCAUUUUUAUAUGAAAUAGUUCACCGUUAUAUUGGAAAGAUAAAAGGGAUCAAGACAAGUCAUCAUGGCCUUAAUAAC